CGCUUGUCCGAACCUCUUCGGGAGACUACUUCUCGCGGUAUCUGACUCCUAGGCUCCGCCCUCUGCACGCCGCUCACGGUAUCUGACGCUCAGGCUCCGCCCCCUGCAUGUCUUUGUUGGCAAACAGUUCUGGGGGUCGUCCGAUCCUGCAGAGACCGUCCAGGCUGGACUUGAACUCCUUCCUCGGCUGAAGUGAUCCUCCUGCCUCAGCGUCCUGAAUAGGAAGUGGAGCCAGAAUCCACAGAUGUCAUUAUCCAUCUGCACACUUUGUUUACUACCCAGAAGGCAAGAAUAUUGCAUUUUAAAAGUGCCCGGACUUUUGUUCUUUCUUAUCACAAAUGACUUGGGAAGCUCCGACCACUCAUGUUUACCCCGAGUGAAAGUCCCAUUCAAAGCCUUGCUUCCUGGAGAGCUUUGAGAUUCUGGUACAAAAGGCAUUUUAUAAGCACAAAGUGGAAAAGCAUCAUUCAUAUUCAUUUGCUGCUGCGGCAUUUCUCCCUGGAAUCUUCCUCUUGUCUGUCAACAUUGGGCAAAAGGACUGGCCUCAUCUACAUUACAGAUAUCCUUGUGAUGGUCUGGAGGGACCUGUGGGAGAGGCGGCCAUCCAGAGGGCUCUCUGAGGGGUCAUUUAGAAUGCAACUCUUCUGGGCAGAGGAUGGUCUGCACUGGCCUCCACCACGCAGGAAGGCUUCCAGAGUGGAGAAAUGUCCACUAACAUGGCUUCUGUGAGGUAUCAUUCUGAUCAUUGUUGUUACAGGAGAGAUGAGAGGAAGUUAGAGGGGCUAGAAGAACCAGGAGACCUGUUGAAAAUCAUGAAUACAAAGAGAGGUCGUUUGCUUCUGUGCUUCAAUUCUAUAAUAAAAUGAGUACAAUGUCAGUAUCAGUGUUCUAAUAGUUUUUAUAUCCAAAAGAUGAAUUGAAUGCCAUGUUUUGUCUGUUGUAAAACUUGAGGUUAUUUCACUUCUAGGAGUCUGAUAUCCUCACACAAGCACAUAAAAUAUGUAUACAAGGAUAUUCACCGCAGCAUAUUUUUAAAAUUAAUUUUUUUCUUUCAUCCCAGUCAUAUAUGUGCAGCAAAGUAGGAUGAUUAAGAGCAGGGCCUCUGGGCAGCUGCCUGAGAUGGAGGCCUUACCACGCCUGGCAGCUCCAGUGAACA
rnacentral:lncRNA from 10 species